UCCAGGGUAGCCUAGUGGACAUGGCAUCUGCCCCGUAAGCGGAACACUGUGGGUUCGAUUCCCAUCCCUGGUAA
rnacentral:tRNA from 1 species